UACGGGGGGGGCAAGCGUUGUUCGGAAUUACUGGGCGUAAAGGGCUCGUAGGCGGCCAACUAAGUCGGAUGUGAAAUCCCCAGGCUUAACCUGGGAACUGCAUCCGAUACUGGAUGGCUUGAAUUCGGGAGAGGGAUGCAGAAUUCCAGGUGUAGCGGCGAAAUGCGUAGAUAUCUGGAGGAAUACCGGUGGCGAAGGCGGCAUCCUGGACCGACAUUGACGCUGAUGAGCGAAAGCUAGGGGAGCAAACGGG
rnacentral:rRNA from 1 species